UUGAUAACUUAGUGGCGGACGGGUGAGUAACGCGUGGGUAACCUGCCGUAUACAGGGGGAUAACACUUAGAAAUAGGUGCUAAUACCGCAUAAGCGCACGGUUCCGCAUGGGACAGUGUGAAAAACCGAGGUGGUAUACGAUGGACCCGCGUCUGAUUAGCCAGUUGGCAGGGUAACGGCCUACCAAAGCGACGAUCAGUAGCCGACCUGAGAGGGCGGACGGCCACAUUGGGACUGAGACACGGCCCAAACUCCUACGGAAGGCAGCAG
rnacentral:rRNA from 1 species